rnacentral:snoRNA from 2 species
AAAGCAGGGAUUGUGUGUAUCGGCUUAGUGCUAGCAAUGCACUUGUACGAAAGAUUUCCCUUGCAAAAUCAUUUUGGGGCAGAUGGGCAGUUGUGAUUCAUAUACUCUAUUGAAUAACUCAACAAUCAUCUUCUCCACAUUU